UUUGAAUGCUUAAGAGAUCUCACGGUACGGGAGCAGACCUUACAUUCUGGUACAUAUAUAACAUGUCUCCAAAGAACUGAAGUGAUAUAACACAUGCUGUCUGAAUCUGCCAUUUCCUGCUUACUGACCACACACCCGUUGCAAACCUGUUUAGCUUUCCUUUAAGAAUUUGUAAAAGAAAACAACUUGUUUUAUUUCUUUUGUAACUUUACAUCCCUAUGUUGAUUAAGUGAUCUGGAGCUGUAAACGUACAUUGCUGAUGGCGUUGAUAUGCCAGUUCUAAUCCGGUGCUGCGGAUGAAUGUGUUGAGGCAUGUUAAAAAGAUGGCACAAACGGUCACAACCUAAAAGUUUUUUAGCCGUUUCUUUGCUAAGGGAAAACUUUGUAAUGGAAAUGAUGUUUAGUGUUUUAUGAUUGUAACUCAAUGCAUCAGGAUCUUCUAUAAUCCUUGCUGCACUAUAAAAAGCACAGUGUUACUUUUACAUUCAGAUCAUUGUAAAUAUGUUUGACACUGUCAGGGAUUUGAAAGAAUGCCAGUAACUUGUGCACGCUUUCGUUUUAAUCUCAUUUGAAGCGUCUGCUCUAACUUGAUGUCUUCUGACUGCUACCCUUUCCGUUAGCGGUGCUGGCCGCAUGCCCACCUUGACCUGGGGCGUCUGUCAUUCUUGGCCCUUGACUUUUUGUCUGGAACCAAGUUCAUCUUGCUUCCCAACUCUUGAUUCGGGAAGAUUGAAGAAAACUCCCAUUUGGUUUAAAAUCCGACCACAGCAAUCUUGGAGAAGUUGAAAAACUUUCCUGGCACAGCAGCCCGAGUCUCACAUUCCUCCUAACACUACCAGAAGAGAUUCUUCGUUUAAUUAACAGGGCUGGAGAAUCUUGGCGCGAUGGUUCACGCAGACAUGGGCAGCGUGGCUUGGGUCCAGAGCUCUGGCCGCAUCCCAGUUUAGACUCUGGUCACUGCGAAGCCCCUCGUCUUUCACAGCCAGCUGACAUCUGGCCGGUCUGGGACAGGGGAAGCCAGAGCUGGCUGCAAUCCGUGCAGCUCCACGUCCCAUCCUGGCUGCUUGUAUGUGCCAGACAGGUGUGUAAUCUUGAGCUGGAGACGAUGGAGAAUUCAGAUCAGCAUAAAUACAGUAGCAAGGAGGGGUUUCUUUCAGGUGGGUGGACCUGCCAAGACAACAAGCACAGAUUUGUAGGCCUGCCAAACCUGGGUGACCCAGUCACUAUCACGUCCAGACGCCUGAUGCCGCACGUAUCAGCAAAAGUUGCCAUCUCCUCUGACAGCUCGGGCCGUUGUCCAGACGCUCCGUUCUGAAAGCAUCCUGUCAGAGAGAGUGAAUCUGAUGUGAACUGACAGCAGACACAGGCUGAAUGACUGACUGGCCACACACACACACACGCAAUGUGCUCUGGGCCUUGCUGAACUCAUAAGAAAUACAGAAUAAAACCACUCAAUUAUGCAAAUGAUUUUAUUCAUUCCAUCAAUUAAAGUUCGACCGCACAUCAAAAAAUAUAUCAGUAACCCGGAGCUGUUGUAUGGAAAGAAGCUUUCAUGUUUGAUUGAAGCUGUUUGUAGACUAUAUUUAAGAAAAAUAUCACUGAGAAUUUGGCAAGCAAUGCAUAAUUGCUUGUGAAUAGUUAUAACUUUUUUUGGUGUUUUGAUCUCUACAGUAAGUUUAUAUGAAAUUUAUCACAAUUCAAUUGUCUUGUUAAAAUAGCUAUUUUAAUUUGCAUAUAAAAAGUUGCAUUUUGUAUUUUAUGUUUAACAUUCUCUAUUCGCAAUGUUUUUUUCUCAGAAGAAUUAGAGCCUAAACUUAAUUAUUUAAACACAUGUCCUAUGAACACACACACACACACACACACACACACACACACACACACACACACACACACACACACACACACACACACGAGAUUUGGAUUCCCUCUACUGGACUUUAUUGGUAAUGCAGCAGUUUGUAUUCGUGCAAUUGUUUAGUACUGUAUUUAUUCAGACUGAAUAAGAAAGCUACAUGCCUCACAACUAGUUUCUUUUUUUAAUGCAUGAAGGUUGGAUUUAGGGCAUUUGUAAUUUAAAUUUGUUCAAUUAGAAUUUUCAACAUGCAAAUUGGAGGAAGAUUAUUUCAUUUGAACAAAUUAUAUAUUCAUAUAUGUCACAGAUUGCAUUAUGCUAUUUCAUUUUGGAGAAAUGUUGCCUAGAGGUGAUGAAUUUUAUUACCCAACAAAAAUGUCAAAU